GACGAACCUUGCUAACGUUAUUCGGAAUCACUGGGCUUAAAGGGUGCGUAGGCUGUGCGGAAAGUUGGGUGUGAAAUACCUCGGCUUAACCGAGGAAUUGCGCCCAAAACUACCGUGCUUGAGUGAGACAGAGGUGAGCGGAACUUAGGGUGGAGCGGUGAAAUGCGUUGAUAUCCUAAGGAACACCGGUGGCGAAAGCGGCUCACUGGGUCUUGUCUGACGCUGAGGCGCGAAAGCUAGGGGAGCAAACGGG
rnacentral:rRNA from 1 species